AAAGUCGUAACAAGGUUUCCGUAGGUGAACCUGCGGAAGGAUCAUUAACGAAUUGUAAUCGGAGUUGAUGCUGGUAGCUUGGCUGCAUGUGCUCGCUCCUAACAAUCGAAACACCUGUGCACAUUUAGAGAGGGGGGGUCUCGCUUGUAGUCCUUUCCUCUCAUUAUAGACUUUAUUUUAAUAUUGAACGUGAUUGUGCCGUGAGGCCUUGAUAUGAAUAUAACUUUUAACAACGGAUCUCUUGGCUCUCGCAUCGAUGAAGAACGCAGCGAAAUGCGAUAAGUAAUGUGAAUUGCAGAAUUCAGUGAAUCAUCGAAUUUUUGAACGCACCUUGCGCUCCCUGGUAUUCCGGGGAGCAUGCCUGUUCGAGUGUCAUGCAAUUAUCAAACUGAGAUGCAUUUUUUUGUGUCUCAGGUUGGUGUUGGGCUUUGCAGUCCCUUUGAUCGGGGAUGGCUGGCCUCAAAAGCAUUAGCUGGCCCUUCAUGUGGGGAUUGGUUCUACUCAGCGUGAUAAUAAUCUGACCGCCGAGGAGACACAUCUUUUGAUCGAGAUGGCCAAUUCUCAUUUGGGCUGCUUCUAAUCAUGGUUUUUGGUCGUACAGAGUCUGAUCCCUCUGUCUUCCACUAAUCUUGGUUGAGCAAGAUACUGAUCACAUCUUCUCAUCCAUA
rnacentral:rRNA from 1 species